rnacentral:rRNA from 1 species
UGGGGAAUAUUGCACAAUGGGCGCAAGCCUGAUGCAGCCAUGCCGCGUGUGUGAAGAAGGCCUUCGGGUUGUAAAGCACUUUCAGCGAGGAGGAAGAUGGUGAGCUUAAUACGCUCAUCAAUUGACGUUACUCGCAGAAGAAGCACCGGCUAACUCCGUGCCAGCAGCCGCGGUAAUACGGAGGGUGCAAGCGUUAAUCGGAAUUACUGGGCGUAAAGCGCACGCAGGCGGUUUGUUAAGUCAGAUGUGAAAUCCCCGGGCUCAACCUGGGAACUGCAUUUGAAACUGGCAAGCUAGAGUCUCGUAGAGGGGGGUAGAAUUCCAGGUGUAGCGGUGAAAUGCGUAGAGAUCUGGAGGAAUACCGGUGGCGAAGGCGGCCCCCUGGACGAAGACUGACGCUCAGGUGCG